rnacentral:tRNA from 1 species
GCCCAGGUGGCGAAAUCGGCAUACGCACGGCACUUAAAAUGCUGUGACCCGUAAGGGUCGUGCGGGUUCGAGUCCCGCCCUGGGCA